rnacentral:rRNA from 1 species
GACGAACGCUGGCGGCGUGCUUAACACAUGCAAGUCGAACGGUAAGGCCCCUUCGGGGGUACACGAGUGGCGAACGGGUGAGUAACACGUGAGCAACCUGCCCUUGACUCUGGCAUAACAGUUGGAAACAGCUGCUAAUACUGGAUAUUCAUCGUCUCCUUCCUGGGGGGUGGUGGAAAGCUCCGGCGGUCAGGGAUGGGCUCGCGGCCUAUCAGCUUGUUGGUGAGGUAAUGGCUCACCAAGGCUUCGACGGGUAGCCGGCCUGAGAGGGCGACCGGCCACACUGGGACUGAGAUACGGCCCAGACUCCUACGGGAGGCAGCAGUGGGGAAUAUUGCACAAUGGGCGCAAGCCUGAUGCAGCAACGCCGCGUGCGGGAUGACGGCCUUCGGGUUGUAAACCGCUUUCAGUAGGGACGAAGGGUGACUGACGGUACCUACAGAAGAAGGACCGGCUAACUACGUG